rnacentral:rRNA from 1 species
GACGGAGGGUGCGAGCGUUGUUCGGAUUGACUGGGCGUAAAGGGCGUGUAGGCGGUCGGCCAAGUCUGGUGUGAAAGCCCGGGGCUCAGCUCCGGAAGUGCGCCGGAAACUAGCUGGCUGGAGCGCGGUAGAGGAGGGUGGAAUUCCUGGUGUAGCGGUGAAAUGCGUAGAUAUCAGGAGGAACACCGGCGGCGAAGGUGGCCCUCUGGACCGUUGCUGACGCUGAGACGCGAAAGCGUGGGGAGCAAACAGG